AGGAAGACACAUACUUAGGUACACAUGAAGGUAGACACAUACUUAGGUACACAAGAAGGAAGACACAUACCUAGGUACACAUGAAGGUAGACACAUACUUAGGUACACAUGAAGGUAGA